UGGGGAAUAUUGCACAAUGGGCGCAAGCCUGAUGCAGCCAUGCCGCGUGUAUGAAGAAGGCCUUCGGGUUGUAAAGUACUUUCAGCGAGGAGGAAGGCGUUGUGGUUAAUAACCGCAACGAUUGACGUUACUCGCAGAAGAAGCACCGGCUAACUCCGUGCCAGCAGCCGCGGUAAUACGGAGGGUGCAAGCGUUAAUCGGAAUUACUGGGCGUAAAGCGCACGCAGGCGGUAUGUCAAGUCGGAUGUGAAAUCCCCGGGCUCAACCUGGGAACUGCAUCCGAAACUGGCAGGCUAGAGUCUUGUAGAGGGGGGUAGAAUUCCAGGUGUAGCGGUGAAAUGCGUAGAGAUCUGGAGGAAUACCGGUGGCGAAGGCGGCCCCCCGGACAAAGACUGACGCUCAGGUGCGAAAGCGUGGGGAGCAAACA
rnacentral:rRNA from 1 species